GGCCCCAAAUUUGCAGUAGAGUUGAUUAGAAGGAUCAUCUGACCCUACUUAACUACUCUACUUCAAGUUUGUGCCC
rfam:Haemonchus contortus, ISE/inbred ISE, WGS project CAVP01000000 data, contig: Hcontortus_contig_pathogens_Hcontortus_scaffold_2374